rnacentral:lncRNA from 1 species
UUCCUUCCUCCAUCUGUGAGUUUUCUGAGAGUGUCUCACAUCUAAAACUCCUUUUCCUACUUCUUAUCUUUGGAAGAAUCCAAAUCAAGAAGAAGGAGGCAUCUGAUCGACCAUCAAAGAAGGAUCAGCACAGUACUAGCAUACUGUGCUGAUUUUCUAGAUCAGGACUUCUGAUUGUGAUUCGUGGGCUCGUGUGGAUGACUCCUAGAGGUCGGAUGCAUGUGUGGC